CUAGUUUCAAUACCCAGUCCGCCGACCGGAAGAAGAGGCCGCUGAACACCAACGAAGAAGCGCCCACCGCCGGAAGUGUUAGCAUAGCCGAGCCUACUGUAUGUAGCCGAGCGAGUCAGUCAAGCAUGGAUAGCGGGCGUCGGCGGCCAAAAGUGUGGCUUUAUUUUACUAAAAAAAAUUGAAAUAUCGGCGAAAUGUAACACGUGCGACAGGACUGUUUCCUGCUUAGGAGGGUGCACGUCGAACAUGAUGAAGCACCUCCGAGUUCAUGGAGUACAAAUAAAUGCGUGUCCCGUCUUCGACGCGCUGCGCUGACCGUCCUCCUCUGCCUCUUCCUCUGGCUCCGGCUCCGACGCCCAGCCUGGUACCUCGGUGACUGCACUGCAGUCCGAAUCCGACAAUUUAGAACCUGCUAGCCAGGCUCUGCGAUGUGCUCAGCGUACUCCGUUCACCCUAGCGGCAAUGGGGAAGAUGUCGGUGCCACAGACGGAAGAGUGCCACAGAAAGGUCACUGCACACAUAGUCAAAAGACUGCAUCCCUUUUCAGAGGUGGAAUCUCCAACAUUUAGGGAUAUGGUGAAAACUCUCAACCCAAAAUACAUACCACCUUCCAGGGACUACCUGGCAAACACAUUGAUCCCGGCAUGGUACAAGAAGAAUCGGAAUCGAGAAUCGUCAGGAAUCGGAAUCGUUCCAAUUCAAACGAUGCCCAACCCUAACUGAGAGCAAGAAUGUUACAACUCAAUUUUCAGACCUCCUCAGUAAAAUCGUCCCCAUCCCCAUGAUUUAAACAUCCACGCUGAUAAUCCCACACAGUGCUUUAAAAAUGAAUUUUUGGACCUGAUAGACUCUUUUGGUCUCACCCAACACUUUUCCGUCCCAACCCAUAAAAAGGGUCACACCUUAGAUCUUGUCCUCUCUGUCAAUCUCCCUGUCAGCAAUAUGAAUAAUACUAAUAAUAAUAAUAAUAAUGGAUUAGAUUUCAUAGCACACUUUUCUAUUUUUAGGUACUCAAAGCGCUCACAGAGAGGUGAGAACCCAUCAUUCUUUCACACCUGGUAGUGGUAAUCUACAUUUGUAGCCACAGCUGCCCUGGUGUAGACUGACGGAAGCCAGGCUGCCAGUUUGCGCCUACGGCCCCUCCGACCACCACUUAUCAUUCAUUCACCAGUGUGAGCGGCACCGGGGGCAAGGGUGAAGUGUCCUGCCCAAGGACACAAUGGCAGUGAUUUGGAUGUCUUGAGGCGGGGAGCGAACCUGCAACCCUGAGGUUUCUGGCACGGCCGCUCUACCCACUACGACAGGGGUAGGGAACCUAUGGCUCUAGAGCCAGAUGUGGCUCUUUUGAUGACUGCACCUGGCUCUCAGAUAAAUCUUAGCUGACAUUGCUUAACACGGUAAGUAAUGAAUAAUUCCGCUGGUAAUCACAGUGUCAAAAUAAUGUUCAAAAUACAAAAAAUUCUUAUGCAUUUUCAUCCAUCCAUCCGGUUUCCACUGCACCUGUUCAAGAAGUGUAAGAAUACAUGCAAGAAGUAUUUUAUCUAUUGUUGGUUAGCUUCAGAAUAACAAUGUUAUUAAAAAAAAAUAA